rnacentral:rRNA from 1 species
UAGGGAAUCUUCGGCAAUGGGGGCAACCCUGACCGAGCAACGCCGCGUGAGUGAAGAAGGUUCUCGGAUCGUAAAGCUCUGUUCUAAGAGAAGAACGUGUGUGAGAGUGGAAAGUUCACACAGUGACGGUAACUUACCAGAAAGGGACGGCUAACUACGUGCCAGCAGCCGCGGUAAUACGUAGGUCCCGAGCGUUGUCCGGAUUUAUUGGGCGUAAAGCGAGCGCAGGCGGCUUAAUAAGUCUGAAGUUAAAGGCAGUGGCUUAACCCAUGUUCGCUUUGGAAACUGUUUAAAUUGAGUGCAGAAGGGGCGAGUGGAAUUCCAUGUGGAGCGGUGAAAUGCGUAUAGAUAUGGAGGGACACCGGUGGCGAAAGAGGGUCUCUGGUCUGUAACUGACGCUGAGGCUUGAAAGCGUGGGGAGCAAACAGG